AAAUCUUAAAAACCCUUACUAGACCUAAAAUUCUACUUUCUAAGACCUUAACCCGCUUAAACCUCAAUAUCUCUCACUUUAACCGUUAGAUCGAGCUCAAAUUUAUAAGAUGUAUUUAACACAACUAUAACCAUAAACCCCAAAAAUUUUACCUAUAGAUCUGCUACAAAACUCUCGAAAUCACUCAAAACAUAAAUUCUAUUUUAUUUCAUAAAACCCAAGUCAUCCGAAACAAACCUCCACUUUGCAAAGCUCUUACAAAAUCAUAUCAACUUCAAAUCACCCAAAAUCAAUGCCCAUAGAAACCCUAUCUAGUCUGCUAUCAAACCUCACUCUCCAAUCUCCAAAAGAACCCCAGAGUCGUCAUCGAGACUCGGUUUUGUGCCUUAG
rnacentral:lncRNA from 1 species